rnacentral:rRNA from 1 species
GGGCCCGCACAAGCGGUGGAGCAUGUGGUUCAAUUCGACGCAACGCGAAGAACCUUACCCAGGCUUGAACAGCGAGUGACCAACUCCGAAAGGGGUCUUCCGCAAGGACACUCGUAGAGGUGCUGCAUGGCUGUCGUCAGCUCGUGUCGUGAGAUGUUGGGUUAAGUCCCGCAACGAGCGCAACCCUUGUCUGCUGUUGCCAUCAGGUAAUGCUGGGCACUCUGCAGAGACUGCCGGUGAUAAACCGGAGGAAGGUGGGGAUGACGUCAAGUCAGCAUGGCCUUUAUGUCUGGGGCUACACACGUGCUACAAUGGCCGGUACAAACCGUCGCAAAACCGUAAGGUCGAGCUAAUCGGAGAAAACCGGUCUCAGUUCGGAUAGCAGGCUGCAACUCGCCUGCUUGAAGUUGGAAUCGCUAGUAAUCGCGGAUCAGCACGCCGCGGUGAAUACGUUCCCGGGCCUU